rnacentral:rRNA from 1 species
CAGUCGCCGCGGGAAUACGAAGGGUGCAAGCGUUAAUCGGAAUUACUGGGCGUAAAGCGUGCGUAGGCGGCUUUUUAAGUCGGAUGUGAAAUCCCUGAGCUUAACUUAGGAAUUGCAUUCGAUACUGGGAAGCUAGAGUAUGGGAGAGGAUGGUAGAAUUCCAGGUGUAGCGGUGAAAUGCGUAGAGAUCUGGAGGAAUACCGAUGGCGAAGGCAGCCAUCUGGCCUAAUACUGACGCUGAGGUACGAAAGCAUGGGGAGCAAACAGGAUUAGAUACCCGCGUAGUCCCUGUCUCUUAUAA